rnacentral:rRNA from 1 species
UGGGGAAUUUUGGACAAUGGGGGCAACCCUGAUCCAGCAACGCCGCGUGAAGGAUGAAGUAUUUCGGUAUGUAAACUUCGAAAGAAUAGGAAGAAUAAAUGACGGUACUAUUUAUAAGGUCCGGCUAACUACGUGCCAGCAGCCGCGGUAAUACGUAGGGACCAAGCGUUGUUCGGAUUUACUGGGCGUAAAGGGCGCGUAGGCGGCAAUUCAAGUCAUCUGUGAAAUCUCCGGGCUUAACUCGGAACGGUCAGAUGAUACUGCUUUGCUAGAGUGCAGAAGGGGCAAUCGGAAUUCUUGGUGUAGCGGUGAAAUGCGUAGAUAUCAAGAGGAACACCUGAGGUGAAGACGGGUUGCUGGGCUGACACUGACGCUGAGGCGCGAAAGCCAGGGGAGCAAACGGGAUUAGAUACCCAAGUAGUCCCUGAGCGGGCUGGCAAGGCGCAU